CGCGGGCGACUCGUGGUGCCGGAGAGGGGGCGCUUCCCGAGGCGGGAACCGAGGGGGUCCCCUCGGGGUGUGCCCCCAGCCCCUCGCGCGGCCUGGCCCUGAGCAGGCGCCCUUGAGCCGGGGUUUCUUCCUGGAGGGCCACUGGGGGCUUUCCGUAUAGGGGCGGCGUGCGGCGCGGGCUGGAGUCACUGCGGGAGCAGGACUUGGGCUGGAUGGAGCCCGGCGGGCGGUCGAUGGCUCUCUGCGGGGAGGUCGCUGGCCACACGGGCCCUCCGAGUACCCGCUCCCAUCGGCGUGGCGUGGGGAGGGACGGUGCUGCAGAGGUGUGGAAGGCAGAGAGGUCCUUCCAGGGUCGGGCCAAGCACGGGACCUGAAGGUCACUGGGAAACUGAAAAGUUAGAUGUGGAGUAAAGGUAGCCUUGGGGGAUUAUGAUAUGAAUUACGUAAAUCUGUGUCUAGUUUCAGUGAUAAGAUACACAGCAAAAGAAUGACAGCAAAAGAAUGUAAUUGACCCUGUGCUAAGUGCUUUGGUUGCCGAAGGAGAGAUGAGUUCCUAUAAACAUUUGUGGAAAGGAACCAGCCUUUGCUUUUUUUCUGAUUCUAAUCGCCAUGAAAACUGUUGUGAUCCAAAAGACCUCAUUGGGCAUCUAGGUAAGAAACCAAGUGCUGCUCUAUAAAUACUCAUUGAAGCAACACUGACCUGGAAUCUCUUCAAGUCCUAGACAGUGCCCGUGGACCUGACAGCAUGGUGGGUCUAGACAGUGCCCAUGGACCAAUGGCUGAGUUCAAAACCUACAUUCAUGCUCUCCACAGGGAGAUUCUCCAGGCACUGGUUGCCCCGCUAUUCCAGGUACCGCAGUGGAAUAGCACUAGCUGUGGCAAAUUUCCCAGGCUCAGCUCUGGGAACAUCAGCUUUUCCCACCACAGAGAAUUCUGCAUUCCAGGCUGUUCUCUUCAGAAAGACAGUUCUGCAAAUUGAAAGAUUUUUCAGCAAAGAGUGGUUAAAGGACGUGGGCAACAAAAGUGGGCCCCAAAUCAAGGACCCUAAGAGAGAAGGGGAAGAGGCAUAUGGAAGGAAAGAGCAAUUGAAUCUACACAGCGGGCACCUCUAACCUGCAGGCAGAGGCUGGACUCAGCCUAUCACUGACUUUGGGAAACUCACUCAACUUCUGUGAGUGUAAAAUUAUAUAAGUUGAUCAUUGUAUCGAGCUUUUGCUGUUAUUGAAGGAUUAAAUUUGAAUAAAAGAAU